rnacentral:lncRNA from 1 species
CCUGGCUGCAGCUCCAGCCAGGAUGUUUUGCAAUGAGCCUGGGGAAGCGUCCAUUCCGGGAAGAUCAGGGAGUGGACGGUGCUUGCCAGCAGGGGUCUGGGAGCCAGACCUUCGAAAAUUGGAGAGGGCCAGCCAGUAUGUCAAGAUCUCACGGCUGCCCUUCCCUCUUGUCCUGACACCUGAGCUCUCCUGUGUGUGAAGGAUUUCCGCAUGCCCAGAAGACAGCUUCAAGCUUCCAGAGCCAGGCACACUUAUAGAAGAAAGGAAUAAAACCAUUUUACAGAUGUGUAUGCCGAGGCAGCUGAAAGCAAUUGCUGACUUGGGUCAUGGUUUAAGUCAGGGUGGGUUCUGGGCCCCUGGCCCUCACAUGUCCCUACCCAGCAUCCUCUUUACCUGCUCUUCCCCCAUAGUGUCACUUUGUGCUUUGUCCCUGAAGGCUUUUACCUGUCUUCUCCACUUUUCUCAGCCUUGUUUACCUGACGGUUCCUUUCCUUGGUCUUCACUGGCUAAGGUCAGCCUCUGGUGUGUAUGUAUGUGUGUGUGUGUGUGCACAUGUGUGUGUGCAUGUGUGUAUGUAUGUAAGUGGGUGUGUAUGUGUGAGUGUGUGUGUACAUGUGUGAGUGUGUUAUAUGUGCGAGUGUAUGUGUAUGUGUGGGUAUGUAUAUGUGAGUGUGUGUAUGCAUUCUGUGAGUGUAUAUGUAAGUGUGAGUAUGUGUAAAUGAUUAUGUGUGUAUAUAUGGGUGGGUAUGUAUAUGUGUGAGUAUGUAUACGUAUGUGACUUUAUAUGUGUGUGUAUGUGUGAAUGAGUGUGUGUAUGUGUGUGUGUUAACUGAAGCAUGAUCUUGGUGGUAUAUUAUCCAUGUUCCUUCAGAGUUAUGUGUCUAGAAUUCCACAUGCCCUGUUAGGCUAUCAAUUCUUUUGAGGAAAAAAGUUGAUAAAUGGCCUUCGGUGACCCUCAAACUCUUGUGUUCCAAGGGACGAUGAAACGCACAAUCUAACCUGUUCUUCUGAGCCACCUUUGAUGAGCAGAAG